rnacentral:rRNA from 1 species
UACGUAGGUGGCAAGCGUUGUCCGGAAUUACUGGGCGUAAAGGGCGCGUAGGCGGCAUCUUAAGUCAGAUGUGAAAACCCAGGGCUCAACUUUGGGAGUGCAUUUGAAACUGAGGAGCUAGAGUGCCGGAGAGGAAAGCGGAAUUCCUAGUGUAGCGGUGAAAUGCGUAGAUAUUAGGAGGAACACCAGUGGCGAAGGCGGCUUUCUGGACGGUAACUGACGCUGAGGCGCGAAAGCGUGGGGAGCAAACAGGAUUAGAUACCCUGGUAGUCCACGCUGUAAACGAUGGAUACUAGGUGUGGGAGGUAUCGAACCCUUCCGUGCCGCAGUAAACGCAAUAAGUAUCCCGCCUGGGGAGUACGGCCGCAAGGUUGAA